CCGAGAAGCAGCAGUAUGGGUGUGCAGGCUGCCAGGUGCCGUGGGGCAGGUGAAGGAAGAAGCCCAAGAAGGAGCGGCCCGAGAAGCAGCAGCACACAGGCUGCCAGGUGCCAUGGGGCAAGGGAAGGAUACAGUGGAGCCGUCAGCCCCAGAAAUGGAGGAGUGGAGGCCCUGCUGGUGCUGGAGGCGUCGGCCCCUCCUCGGUUGGGACCUCAUCUGGUUGAGAGAUGGUGGAAAGCAAGAAGGACUGGGCAACAGCGGGUUCUUUCAGGAGAGGCGCAGCCCCCUCCUCAGGCUGUGGAGCACUCCUACUCUGCCUCUAUCCCCAGGCUCAAGCACAAAAGGAAAUACGGUCUGCUUCUGGAAGGAAGAAUUUAAAGGGCCCCAUGAAGGUCACGAGGACCCAGAUGUGCGUUGGUUUGAAAAGGCAGAAGCAGACAGAAAGAAAUUGGAUGACUUUAGCUGUUGUGGCAGUUGAAACCGGAGCAGCGGUUCUGGCUGCUGAGGACGAAGCAGAAGGCAGAGAUUAAGCAACAAGAUCGGCCUGUGUGUCUGCAAGACUUUUUGCUGGAGAGGCUGGAGAAGAACGCUGCUGCCAUGCUGGGAGAAGCUCAAACCUGAUGGAGAAGAUACAUAAGAAUUGAGGCACUCUGACUGAUGAUCUCAGCAUCCAGCUGCCCCGACUGCUAGCCAGGUACUCUACUGGCAAUGAGAAAGUUACCUGUGGAAAAGACACAGGCUCAUCUCUGUGGUUGCAAGAUGACCUCCAGCAACUUAUCGGGCCACCUUGAGCAUCUGUCUGGAAGGUAGCAAUGCACCAUCCUGGAUGAGGUGAAUGAUGGCAAUACCUAAAGAUGGCAGAGCAACAGGAUAGAAGGAACCUGGAAUUUCUGACAUCCUGGAGCCCCUACAACAACCUUGGGCAGCUUCUGGACUGGAAUGAGAGAGAAAUGAAGUUCAAUAUUGUUUGCUGCAAUUUGAG